ACAACCCUCACUCUUCUUCGACAUUGCUGUGAUGAGAUGAGAGUCUCCAAAGUUCGUUGCCGAUCUUGAGCCAUGUGGAGCCACAAUUCAGAGAUCUGGAGCAACUGCUUAUCGAUUUGGAUCCACCAUUUGCUGAUCAGAAGCAAUCAUUCAUCGUUUUUGUACCAUGAUUCGCUGAUCUCAACAAAUUUCAAUGAGCAUGUAUAGUGAAGUGUCCAAUUCUUGUAAAAAAGUAAAGGAGAAAGUUGAUCCGUCAAAACCAAGGCAAUUGUGGAGCCCAUGAGAAGAGGAAUGUCUUAUUAAUGCCUUGAUGCACAUUGUCAACAAUAGAAUGAAACAGGACAAUGCCUUCAAGGCCAACUACCUUAUGAAAUUAGAGGAGAAAUUGUUGGAGAUGCUACCCGAGACAAACCUUCGUGGCACUCCCCACAUCGAAUCAAAGAUAAAGAUAUGGAAGAAGCACUACAACUGUGUAGCUGGAAUGCUUGAUACUAGUGGUUUUGGAUGGAACGACACCGAAAAAAAAGUUGAUGUUGAAAAUGAUAGUAUUUGGUUUAAGUUACAUUGAAGAGCGAUGCGAAAAAUCUACAAAACAAAAGUUUUCCGGAUUUCAACUCAUGGAUCCACAUAUUUGGUUAGGAUCAAACUAUGGGGGAGUUUGCUGAAGGGCCUGCUAAUGCAGUUGAUGCUAUAAACGCUAAGGAAUAAUUGUUGUUCAACGGUCUUGCAGAUGAUGGCACAUUUCUUGAACAUAUGGGUAUGAAUAGUCAUAUUAGCGACGGAAUAAAUUGCUCCCGCUCAUCAAGUCAACGACCACCUAACAAGAAUGACAACAAGAAGAGGUCUAGAGGUAAUGAUGAUGUGGUGGAAGGGUUGUACAUGAUUGCUAACAAGUUAGGUGAGGUAUUUUUUGCCACCACUGAUCACAAAGUGCUCAAAAGCUCGACAUGUUCUUCAACUUGACACAUGAUGACAAACUAAGGUCAGUGAUGAGGUUGCUACGUAGGAGUGCUCCAUGACAGGCUCGUGACUGUUUUAUGUCGUUCUACGUACUUAGUUUUUUGAUUACUUUAAUGCAUGUAGUAAAGACCAACUUUCUGCUACUUUUUUUUGUUGAACUACUCAUAUUUUGCUACUUCAUGUUGCAAUAUGCUACUUGGAAUGCGUAUUUUGAAAUGAUGAAUGGUAGAUUUAUAAUUUUACAA